GCAGUAGCCGCGGGAAUACAGAGGGUGCGAGCGUUAAUCGGAUUUACUGGGCGUAAAGCGUGCGUAGGCGGCUUUUUAAGUCGGAUGUGAAAUCCCUGAGCUUAACUUAGGAAUUGCAUUCGAUACUGGGAAGCUAGAGUAUGGGAGAGGAUGGUAGAAUUCCAGGUGUAGCGGUGAAAUGCGUAGAGAUCUGGAGGAAUACCGAUGGCGAAGGCAGCCAUCUGGCCUAAUACUGACGCUGAGGUAUGAAAGCAUGGGGAGCAAACAGGAUUAGAUACCCCUGUAGUCCCUGUCUCUUAUAC
rnacentral:rRNA from 1 species